rnacentral:tRNA from 1 species
UUAUAUGAAGUAAUUUUAUUACAAUUUAAUUUCGACUUAAGUAUAGAUUUAUAUUAAAAUCCAUAUAAA